rnacentral:rRNA from 1 species
CUACGGGUGGCAGCAGUGGGGAAUCUUAGACAAUGGGGGCAACCCUGAUCUAGCCAUGCCGCGUGAGUGAUGAAGGCCUUAGGGUUGUAAAGCUCUUUCAGCUGGGAAGAUAAUGACGGUACCAGCAGAAGAAGCCCCGGCUAACUCCGUGCCAGCAGCCGCGGUAAUACGGAGGGGGCUAGCGUUGUUCGGAAUUACUGGGCGUAAAGCGCACGUAGGCGGACUGGAAAGUCAGAGGUGAAAUCCCAGGGCUCAACCUUGGAACUGCCUUUGAAACUAUCAGUCUGGAGUACGAGAGAGGUGAGUGGAAUUCCGAGUGUAGAGGUGAAAUUCGUAGAUAUUCGGAGGAACACCAGUGGCGAAGGCGGCUCACUGGCUCGAUACUGACGCUGAGGUGCGAAAGCGUGGGGAGCAAACAGGAUUAGAUACCCGUGUAGUC